AAUGAACGCUGGCGGCAUGCCUAACACAUGCAAGUCGAACGAGUGGCGGACGGGUGAGUAAUUUCUGGGAAACUGCCUGAUGGAGGGGGCUAAGUACGGGAACCGUUAGCUAAUACCGCAUACCAUCGGAUGUGCCCAGAUGGGAUUAGCUAGUCGGUGGGGUAAAGGCUCACCAAGGCGACGCUGCCUAGCUGGUCUGAGAGGAUUACCGGCCACACUGGAACUGAGACACGGCCCAGACUCCUACGGGAGGCAGCAGUGGGGAAUAUUCGACAAUGGGCGCAAGCCUGAUGCAGCAAUGCCGCGUGAGUGAAGAAGGUUUUCGGGUUGUAAAAUACUGUUGGCAGAGAGGCGUUACCCAAAGAAGAAGCCACGGCUAACUACGUGCCAGCAGCCGCGGUAAUAC
rnacentral:rRNA from 1 species